rnacentral:rRNA from 1 species
UACGAAGGGGGCAAGCGUUGUUCGGAAUUACUGGGCGUAAAGGGCGCGUAGGCGGCCGAUCAAGUCAGGCGUGAAAUUCCCGGGCUCAACCUGGGGGCUGCGCUUGAUACUGAUUGGCUUGAAUGCGGGAGAGGAUAGUGGAAUUCCCAGUGUAGAGGUGAAAUUCGUAGAUAUUGGGAAGAACACCGGUGGCGAAGGCGGCUAUCUGGCCCGUUAUUGACGCUGAGGCGCGAAAGCGUGGGGAGCAAACAGG